GACGAACGCUGGCGGCGUGCUUAACACAUGCAAGUCGAACGGAAAGGCCCUGCUUUUGUGGGGUGCUCGAGUGGCGAACGGGUGAGUAACACGUGAGUAUACUGCCCUUGUCUCUGGGAUAUCUUCCGGAAACUGGGGCUAAUACCGGAUAGGUGCCACUGCUGUAUGGUGGGGGUUGGAAAGAUUCGGCGGUUGGGGAUGGACUCGCGGCUUAUCAGCUUGUUGGUGGGGUAGUGGCUUACCAAGGCUUUGACGGGUAGCCGGCCUGAGAGGGUGACCGGCCACACUGGGACUGAGAUACGGCCCAGACUCCUACGGGAGGCAGCAGUGGGGAAUAUUGCACAAUGGGCGGAAGCCUGAUGCAGCAACGCCGCGUGCGGGAUGACGGCCUUCGGGUUGUAAACCGCUUUCGCCUGUGACGAAGCGUGAGUGACGGUAAUGGGUAAAGAAGCACCGGCUAACUACGUG
rnacentral:rRNA from 1 species